ACAUCAUCCUUGUUACUCAAACACCGUUACACGACUUCUCUCUUCUUUUCUUCGUCAUCUACCUUCUUUCUCUCUCAAUUGUAACCUAAUCAUUCUUUUUUUACUUCAAUCGUGCCAGAAAACUUAUCCCUAAUGGAUGUCCAGACUCCAAAAUCAAGUACGAAGACGUCAUCUGAAGGUUCUCGGAAAAACUCUCCUCGAUUAAUUUCUUCAGACACAAGCCAAAGGAACUCGAGUCGAAUCGCACGCCAACUAAAGACCACUAUAUUGGAAUCUAGCUCGUCCUCUCUCAAUCAAUCAACCAUUAGCACACCAAAAAGUACAAGUCCUGUAAUCGCUACUCACAAGUCGCCCAUAAGCCUCAUUUCUGAGGUAAAUUGAACUACGAAUCGUGUAAAACUAUAUUAAUGUAUUCGGGAAUUGAUAAAUUCACGGAAGAGAGUUCAAUAUUGUUCGUUUUAAUCUACUGAAGAAAUGUCCAGUGAGAGUUGCAGAGCUUGAAACGCAAAUUUCUCAGCUUCAAGAUGAUUUGAAGACUGUUAAGGAUCAAUUAGUUUCAUCAUAAUCAUGGAAAGAUCAAGCGAAACAAAGAUAAAGAGCCUCUUCAUGCUGUUUUUGAAUCAAUAAUUCGGAGGAUUCUUGCCUGUUUACAAUUUUAUGAUUCUUUCCUGUUUACAAUUUUAUAUGAUUCUUCUGUACUAUUAAUCUCUUCUCCAAGUAAAUUGGUUCAAAGGAUGUUUGGAUGCCUUUGGAUGCGAAUUUCAGAAGUGAUUAUGUGAUAUUCAAGAUGGAAUGAUUGUGUUUGAUGACUUGGGGUUCAGACAAAUUCUGUAACUGUAACUGUAACUGUAACUGGUUCUUUUGUUUUUCUGUGCAA